GAUGAACGCUGGCGGCGUGCCUAAUACAUGCAAGUCGAGCGAACGGACGAGAAGCUUGCUUCUCUGAUGUUAGCGGCGGACGGGUGAGUAACACGUGGAUAACCUACCUAUAAGACUGGGAUAACUUCGGGAAACCGGAGCUAAUACCGGAUAAUAUUUUGAACCGCAUGGUUCAAAAGUGAAAGACGGUCCUGCUGUCACUUAUAGAUGGAUCCGCGCUGCAUUAGCUAGUUGGUAAGGUAACGGCUUACCAAGGCAACGAUGCAUAGCCGACCUGAGAGGGUGAUCGGCCACACUGGAACUGAGACACGGUCCAGACUCCUACGGGAGGCAGCAGUAGGGAAUCUUCCGCAAUGGGCGAAAGCCUGACGGAGCAACGCCGCGUGAGUGAUGAAGGUCUUCGGAUCGUAAAACUCUGUUAUUAGGGAAGAACAUAUGUGUAAGUAACUGUGCACAUCUUGACGGUGCCUAAUCAGAAAGCCACGGCUAACUACGUG
rnacentral:rRNA from 1 species